UACGUAGGGUCCAAGCGUUGUCCGGAUUUAUUGGGCGUAAAGAGCUCGUAGGCGGCUCAGUAAGUCGGAUGUGAAAACUCGGGGCUCAACCCCGAGACGCCAUCCGAUACUGCUGUGGCUUGAGUCUGGUAGGGGAGCACGGAAUUCCUGGUGUAGCGGUGAAAUGCGCAGAUAUCAGGAGGAACACCAGUGGCGAAGGCGGCUUUCUGGACGGUAACUGACGCUGAGACGCGAAAGCGUGGGGAGCAAACAGG
rnacentral:rRNA from 1 species